rnacentral:lncRNA from 1 species
GAUCCCCCCAGCUGGGCUUCCAGGGGGUUCGGAGUCCUUGUCCGGGCUGCCGCCACAGGCCUGUGUGUUCCCAUGACCCAUCACACUUGCUAGGAGGCAGAAUCCUUUACGGAUGAGAGAACUCACAUGGGCACGCACGGGGCUCCCAGGCUCUGCCAGUGGCGCCUCUGUGAUCCAGCCAGCUCUCCUCUGAGCGCAAAUAAAUCAACAACAGAAGGACUGCGGGAAACUCAAAGGGGAAAACUGAAAAGAAAGCUGUAAAUAAACAUAAAAUAUAAAGUGCUCGAGACUUGGGAGAAGGUUUGGGCUCUGAGGACGGGGAGGAAAGGGACAGUCAAAUGUUUACGAGCAAGUGGCAGAUCUUAAAACUCAGGCAUAAGGGAGAGGAAAUGAGCACAGAGAGGUUCAGGGGCUUGCCUCAGGCCACACAGCAGCCCAGAUCCAAAGGCUUCUCAUUCCUGCAGGCGGGGGACCGUUCAUCCUAGUGGCUGGAUUGGCAAGAUGUAUUGAGCACUGCCGACCUCGGGCCUGGGGACGUGGAGGGUGAGGAGACACUCCUGCCCUCAAGAGUCCAAGGGACAGCAAGAGAGAGCAGCACAGGGCAGAACAGAAGCCACCUGAGGACAACGGUGUGUCUUAUUCUCUGUGCUGGCUCCCGUCCUUGGGGGCCUCAUCAGUGCCUGUCGAAUGGAUGGAAGCUUCUGAGCGCUUGCUCCUUGCCAGCCUUGUGUCCAGUAUUGGACAUUCAAAGUGGAAUGGGACCCACUGAAGAGCCCAAAUAGAAACCAGAGGGAUGUGCACCUUCCUGGCAAUAUGACCCCACCAAGACAAGCUAACAAUACCCCGGAGGACAUCCAGAAGGAUGAGGGGCCCUUCCCCUGGGGAAGGAGGGACGGGGACACCAGGCAGAGGGCACAGCACAGGCAAAGGCAGAGACGUUAAAGUUCAUGUCCCAUUUGGGCAGAGGGUGUGGACCCAGUGAAGGUGGAACGCAGGUGACAGGUGAGACGGGACGCGCCCCUCACAGAGGGCCCACUGCGAUGGGUCACAGAGUCUGAAGAUUUCUGCUGUUUUCCAUUUCCUUGUAUCCCUAGCCCUUCUCUCAUGCGGGACGUGUGGUGGAGGUUCGGUGAAAAGUACUGA